AUACGUAGGGUGCAAGCGUUAAUCGGAAUUACUGGGCGUAAAGCGUGCGCAGGCGGUUUUUUAAGACAGAGGUGAAAUCCCCGGGCUCAACCUGGGAACUGCCUUUGUGACUGGAAAGCUAGAGUAUGGCAGAGGGGGGUGGAAUUUCACGUGUAGCAGUGAAAUGCGUAGAUAUGCGGAGGGAUACCGAUGGGGAAGGCAAUCCCCUGGGCCUGUACUGACGCUCAUGCACGAAAGCGUGGGGAGCAAACAGGAUUGGAUACCCUGGUAGUCCACGCCCUAAACGAUGUCAACUGGUUGUUGGGUCUUCAUUGACUCAGUAACGAAGCUAACGCGUGAAGUUGACCGCCUGGGGAGUACGGCCGCAAGGUUGAAACUCAAAUGAAUUGGCGGGG
rnacentral:rRNA from 1 species